rnacentral:lncRNA from 1 species
CCCUGUGCCUGACAUCCCCACACCCCUGUGCCCAGCAUCCCUGUGUUCCCAUACACAGCAUCCCCACAUCCCUGUGCCUGACAUCCUCAUGUCCCUAUGCCCACCAUCCCUGUGUCCCCAUACACAACAUCCCCACAUCCCCGUGCCCACCAUUUCCAUAUCUCCAUGCCCAUCCUCCUGCUGUCCCCAUGCCUGGAGUCCCACAAGUGACAUCCCCACGUCUACAUCCCUCUCCCUGCACCUCCAUGCCCAGCAUCCCCAUAUCCCCAUCCAUGGUUCUCACCACCCCACAUCCUCAUCCUUUGCAUCCCCAAAUCCCCACGUCUGUUGUCCCCAUGACCCCACAUCCCAACCCCAUAUCCCCACACCUCACAUCCCAAAUCCCAACCCCACACCUCACAUCCCACAUCCCCAUCUCUGUAUCCCCACACCUCACAUCCCAAAUCCCAACCCCACACCUCACAUCCCACACCCCUACCCCAUAUCCCCACACCUCACAUCCCACAUCCCCGUCCCUGUAUCCCCAUGUCUUACAUCCCAUUUCCUCACACCUUACAUCCCACAUCCCCACACCUGUGGUCCCCAUGACCUCACAUCCCACAUCCCAACCCCAUAUCCCGACACCUUACAUCCCAUAUUCCCACACCUUUGGUCCCCAUGA